CCGGCACGGGUGAGUAACACGUAUCCAACCUGCCGUCUACCCUUGAACAGCCUUCUGAAAGGAAGAUUAAUACAAGAUGGCAUCAUGAGUCCGCAUGUUCACAUGAUUAAAGGUAUUCCGGUAGACGAUGGGGAUGCGUUCCAUUAGAUAGUAGGCGGGGUAACGGCCCACCUAGUCUUCGAUGGAUAGGGGUUCUGAGAGGAAGGUCCCCCACAUUGGAACUGAGACACGGUCCAA
rnacentral:rRNA from 1 species